GACAGAGGAGUUAAGAUGGGCCAUGAGAAUGAAAAGGCAGAAACCAAUAUCCUUAACAGUUAGCCCAGACAAAAGCAUGCGACACCCAGAUGCUGUUUUGCUGCUAUGAACGUGAAGUUGAGGUGGCCUUAGAAAGAUGCUUGUGUCGCGGGUUCUGAUUUCUUCACACCCGUGCUUGGAAUUCUUUACACUCCUCCUGAGAAGAUGGAAAAAACCACUUUCUGUAUGUGAGUGGAAGCAACAGAGACCUGAAAUGCAUCAGGAUAACUAUUUUUAACCAUUUACCUAAACACAAGAAAGUAGUUUUUCUCAGGCCUUUUAAUUAAAACAACAUCAUAGGUUAUACCUUCAUUGUAAUAAAACUCCAAUGUGUGUCCAAA